AUUGAACGCUGGUGGCAGGCCUAACACAUGCAAGUCGAACGGUAGCACAGAGAGCUUGCUCUCGGGUGACGAGCGGCGGACGGGUGAGUAACGUCUGGGAAACUGCCCGAUGGAGGGGGAUAACUACUGGAAACGGUAGCUAAUACCGCAUAACGUCGCAAGACCAAAGUGGGGGACCUUCGGGCCUCACACCAUCGGAUGUGCCCAGAUGGGAUUAGCUAGUAGGUGGGGUAAUGGCUCACCUAGGCGACGAUCCCUAGCUGGCCUGAGAGGAUGACCAGCCACACUGGAACUGAGACACGGUCCAGACUCCUACGGGAGGCAGCAGUGGGGAAUAUUGCACAAUGGGCGCAAGCCUGAUGCAGCCAUGCCGCGUGUAUGAAGAAGGCCUUCGGGUUGUAAAGUACUUUCAGCGGGGAGGAAGGCGGUGGAGUUAAUAACUUCACCGAUUGACGUUACCCGCAGAAGAAGCACCGGCUAACUCCGUGCCAGCCGCCGCGGUAA
rnacentral:rRNA from 1 species